rnacentral:rRNA from 1 species
GACGAACGCUGGCGGCGUGCCUAAUACAUGCAAGUUGAGCGCUGAAGGUUGGUACUUGUACCGACUGGAUGAGCAGCGAACGGGUGAGUAACGCGUGGGGAAUCUGCCUUUGAGCGGGGGACAACAUUUGGAAACGAAUGCUAAUACCGCAUAAAAACUUUAAACACAAGUUUUAAGUUUGAAAGAUGCAAUUGCAUCACUCAAAGAUGAUCCCGCGUUGUAUUAGCUAGUUGGUGUGGUAAAGGCUCACCAAGGCGAUGAUACAUAGCCGACCUGAGAGGGUGAUCGGCCACAUUGGGACUGAGACACGGCCCAAACUCCUACGGGAGGCAGCAGGAGGGAAUCUUCGGCAAUGGACGAAAGUCUGACCGAGCAACGCCGCGUGAGUGAAGAAGGUUUUCGGAUCGUAAAACUCUGUUGGUAGAGAAGAACGUUGGUGAGAGUGGAAAGCUCAGCAAGUGACGGUAACUACCCAGAAAGGGACGGCUAACUACGUG